ACACAAGCCAGCAAACAUACGAACGCACACAAAUUAAUACCAGUGAUAGAAAAAGAACUUAUAUAGCAACGUAUUCUGAAACGCUUCAUUUGUUCUCUCACCAUAUUUUUUUUUUUUCAAAUGCCACAGAAAUGAUUAGCCGGGUUUUCAAUUGCGUUUCUCCUGUUAAUAAUAUAGAAAUCGUGUUAAUGUCACUAGAACCAUUAAAACAUCUUUGAAAACCUGUGCAACUUCAUUUAGAGUCUUAUCAGUUUAGUGGAGGUGCGGCGCAGAAGUGUUUCAGAAUAGGGAUCAUUGUCUCGUAUUCCUCCAGCCUGGUGUCCCCGCUCGGCUCUUUUCACGACUCGCAACGAGGGAGAAAGGUCGAAGUGCGGUGGUCUCGUGGCGGAAGGCUGAAGGAGGCGGUGAAGGAGUGAAGGUGUGAAGUGUGCAGCUUCCACUUCAUCAUCCCAUGAACAGCCCACAGGAAUCUCUACCAGCACCUGGUUAUUAAACAGUGUUGUCACGCCAGGCCCAAUGUACUCCAUUGCAAUCAGGGAGUCAAGCUUCACCAGGAAAAGAGGCAGAGCGUCACCACCUUCAAGCCCCACAAGAGGUAUUAAGUAUCGUUGGGACAAAGCAAUCAGGGAAGAGUCAAGUUGCAGUAAGAAGAGUGUGUCAAGAAUUUCAAGCAGGAAGAACACGUAAAAUUCCCUUCAAGUCAUGGCGGGACCGACAGGCAACUUUCAACACUUGUGGAGGCACGAGAGCUGCAGGCAGUUUCACAAAGAAGAGGUUGCUCCUCACUCAAGUUGAUGCAAGGACAUAAGAAUUGGCAAGUGUUGUUGCUCCCAGGCCCUGCUGCAAGAGUUCUCCAGUCCACUCCAGUCUGGGAAGGAAGAAUGUAGCAAGUCCCUCUCUUCUGUAUUCAACAACCACCACCACCACCUUCAUUCAGGCUUGGGAUAAGUUUUGUACAUUCCAGCACUUCAGUAAUAAGGAAAAAAAGUGCCAUGUUUAUAUUA